rnacentral:lncRNA from 1 species
GGCCGAGCCUGCGGCGAUUUAUUCUUUCCGGUACGACGGAGCAAGAGAUUGGACUUCUUCUUCAGUUCUUCUUCUUCUAGGCUUCCAUACUUCAACUGGGUAAAGAACGUGUGUUCAUUAACGAUGUUCAUUUCUUCUUCUUCUUUUUUACAUUUUAGUACAUAAAUUUUGGGCUUGGUCUUAUAAGUCAUGUUAGCCGUUGAUAUCUUUGCAAAACUUCAAGGGUUCUCAUAGCUUUUAUGGGUUCAUCUAGUCGUGAUAUUCGUUGUUUUCU